UAGGCGCACGGGUGAGUAACACGUGACUAACCUACCCUCGAGUGGGGAAUAACCUAGAGAAAUCUGGGCUAAUACCGCAUAACACUUACGAGUCAAAGCAGCAAUGCGCUUGGAGAGGAGUUCGCGGCAGAUUAGUUAGUUGGCGGGGUAAUGGCCCACCAAGACGAUGAUCUGUAUCCGGCCUGAGAGGGCGCACGGACACACUGGAACUGAAACACGGUCCAG
rnacentral:rRNA from 1 species